rnacentral:tRNA from 1 species
GGGCCGAUAGCUCAGUUGGUAGAGCAUCCGGUUUGCAUCCGGAAGGUUUGGGGUUCGAGUCCCCAUCGGUCCA